UCAUUUGUAGGGGCGGGUGACCCGCUCCUAAAAAUAUAUUUUCAGCGGCUGGUCAAAUGCUACAGUGACCACUCACCAUUUGUAAAAACGGGUUACUUUUUGAUCUGCUCUUGAAAACAAAAUAAGGUGUUGCUAUAAAUCUUUUUUUAGUAGUGUAUAUAGGCAUGGGUAAUAUUUGUAUUAGCCGUAGCAACGUAUCGGUAGCUAGUAACCCUCUAAAUAUAAAACUGUUUACUUAACCGCUGAAUUUCUAAACCAACAUAUUUUUCACCUUCGGUACACAACUAGCUAGCUAAAAUCAGUUUUAGCUAGUUGUGCGCUGCGCGGCGUGUCCGGCUGCGCUUGCGGCCGCGGCGGCGAGGCCCUCAGGGCGGAGCUGGACCCGCCGUUGCUUGAGGGACGCGGCCAGCGUCACACCGUGUGGCGCCGUCGGACGCCAUGACGGAGGCCACCAGGGCUGCCCUAUUGGAUGCGCAGGAUGUGGAGAUUGGGAAAGCCACCGCCAAGGCCAUCGUCAAGUGUAUUUUCCGGGAUUGAUCGUGUGACUGUGGCAGUAUUUGGUUGAUUUAAUGAGAAGAUAUGCGGCCACCCACACCGUAUUGCCAUUUGGGUAUUCUUGCUGUAGCUGUGUCGGUGUUCUUUUGCAUGUUGAUGGGUAGCUUGGAUGAAUGUAUGCCGCCAAUAAUUCCACGUACGUUGAGUACAUGUGAAUGAUGCAGCAAGCCAAGUAUUGUGCAAA